rnacentral:tRNA from 1 species
CCUGGCUAACUCAUUAGGAAGAGCAGGAAACUUCAGGUAGUGACUUCAGGCCCCACGUUGGGC